ACGCUGAUGUGUCUGGCCAACAAGGGCUUCCCCUCAGACUGGACCAUGAGCUGGAAAGUGGACGGGACCAGCAAGAAGCAGGAGGCCAGUCCCGGGGUCCUGGAGAAGGACGGCCUGUACAGCUGGAGCAACACACUGACGCUCACUGCCCAGGAGUGGACCAAGGCAGGAGAGGUGACCUGUGAAGCCCAGCAGAAAUCCCAGACUCCAGUCACAAAGACCCUGAGGAGGGCUGACUGUUCUGGGUAGGACCCCUCAGUCACACACCCCUGUGGAGAGAGGAUGCUGGUUCCUCUGCUUUGACUAGCUUUGUUCUAAAAUCAGUAAUUCUCUGAUUUAGAGAUCACCC